AUUUAUAUAGUUUAAGAAUAAAACAUUACAUUUUCAUUGUAAAAAUAAAAAAAAAAUAUUUUUAUAAAU
rnacentral:tRNA from 1 species